AGGGGUCACUCGUGGCUAAGUAAUAUUGUAACUAUAGACUAUCUGUUAGGACUGUUAUGGUUGGUACGACCAUGGUCAUAGAUCUUACAUGGUUUGGCUAGCCGGAAGUGGGCAUGAGCAAAUUACCGUAUCUAUAUCUGAUAUGGUCAUUCCACUAAGGCAGUUGGAAAUCUGUAUCUGUAUUUGCCCUCAGAGAUGAAAGUUUGUAACCACUUCGGGAAGCAUGACACAAAAAUCUGUGCAUUUUAUGAUUUAUUUGAUUUUUUCUGUUAUUUAGCAUGAUAUAUGUAUAAUUGAUUUUCUGUGCUAACGUACUAUUUUGAUAUUCAAAU
rnacentral:lncRNA from 1 species